CCUACGGGGGGCAGCAGUGGGGAAUAUUGGACAAUGGGGGCAACCCUGAUCCAGCCAUGCCGCGUGUGUGAAGAAGGCCCUCGGGUUGUAAAGCACUUUCAGUGAGGAAGAACGCCUGGUGGUUAAUACCCAUCAGGAAAGACAUCACUCACAGAAGAAGCACCGGCUAACUCCGUGCCAGCAGCCGCGGUAAUACGGAGGGUGCGAGCGUUAAUCGGAAUUACUGGGCGUAAAGCGCGCGUAGGUGGCUUGAUAAGCCGGUUGUGAAAGCCCCGGGCUCAACCUGGGAACGGCAUCCGGAACUGUCAAGCUAGAGUGCAGGAGAGGAAGGUAGAAUUCCCGGUGUAGCGGUGAAAUGCGUAGAGAUCGGGAGGAAUACCAGUGGCGAAGGCGGCCUUCUGGACUGACACUGACACUGAGGUGCGAAAGCGUGGGUAGCCAACAGGAUUAGAUACCCCUGUAGUC
rnacentral:rRNA from 1 species